CUUCUUACGGGUAACCAACGUUACGGACGAGGAGUAUUUGUGAUGCACACCACACUACUCUGUGAAGUGCUCCUGACCUUCAGGAGGAACAAGGAUCAACUGGAGGUCAACCUGGGAAGAGGAUACUUGAAGCUGUUGCUGCCACUGAAUAGCGCAACCCUGUUAAAGGACUCGAGCUGGAAGUCAAGUGUGCUGAUCUUGGCAGACCUGUGCCACUGUGAGGUGUUGAGUGCGUCUUGGGAGGGCUGACAUCUCUUCACAGCAAGAACCUUGAUUGGUGCAGAGCUGAAGCAUCACACAUAAAGGAGUGCACAAUCACCUUUAGAGGUUUACCUCUGGUCACUCCAUAGACUCCUGAAAUUAACGUGUUAAACCCUCGCAGGGAUGACAAAAUCAGACAUUCAAAUGUUUGUUCUACACACUUUUGUCCUCUGUCUUUGAGUGGAUAUUCUUAUUACACCAUCCUGGUGUAAGUCAUACAGAAGGGGCUGUAUACUUGGAGGUUAAGUCAAGGUAUCAGGCACCUUUGACCAGCACUCAACAACCUCUUGACCACCUGUUGUAAUGGUAGAUUAGGCUUAGGUAAUAAAAGCAUGGAGAACAAGAAGUUUUCAAAAAUCUCUUGUGGAAGAAUGUGCUUCAGAACCACAGGCCCACUGUAAACUAUGAAUUGCCUUAGCUCUGUGGCCUUCCAUCUAUCUAUUUCUGUAAAUACAGGCGAUGCAACUUGCCAUUAUGUUAGUUAGCAAGUUAGCUCUGGUGUAGCAAAAAUCAAAGUGUGCAGCACUCGCGUAUCGGAGAUCACAGUAUCCGCUCGAAGGCAGAGGACAAAAGUGUUUAGAGCAAACGUUUGCAUUUCUGAUUUUGUCGUCACCGUGAGUUCAGGGAUAUGGGAUUAUCCCACCUGCUAUGUUAUUUUCAGUUAGUGAUCACUGUUGAUCUUGCAACAUGUACACCAACCGUGAUUUUGGUGUGUAGGCCAAAUAUGUUCCUCAUGGUUCUCUUUUUCACACACUCAAAACUAUUGUUCUUUUUCAAGUGUUCCAUUCAUUCACCUCUUUAUCAGAUGGCACAGGUGUGGAAGGUUGUAGAAUUCCGGGACAAAGCCACUGCCAUAGUGCCAGGUAGUUGGUUGGAGGAGGCAGGCGAUUUUUGGAACUGUUACUGGUCUGGCUCCUAUGACCACUGGCGGCUCCAAAAAUCCGUUUUGAACCACCUUCCACCAGGUCAAAACUGGGAUGUUUUUGAUGACGUGAGGGUCUUGGUAGGCUGUGGUAAGGAAACAUACUGCAUUAUUACUGCAGUUCCUAUGAGCACUGGCUGUUAUUUUCCCAUAGGAAAAAUCUCAAAAUCUCUAAGCAGCUCUGGAUGGUAUGCUGUCAAUAUGAUUAAUGCUAGAACUUUUGAAAAUGGGUAAACCAU